GUCCCCUUUGCAGGGCUUCUCUACUCUGUUCUAAAUGAGAUUUCCGUCUAUUAAUUUUCAUGGAUACAAUACUAGAGCUUUUAAUUUAUAUACUUGAAUUAUAAGUUAAAUAGUAAUCAGAUCAAAGAAAAGUAAUAUUAAUAAUAAAGGCUCUGAAUCAUUCUGGCUUCCACGGUAAAUCUUCUAAAUCUAAUGGGAUUAGAUUAAAUUUUUAAACAUGAUUCACUACAGAAGCAAAACUCUGAUAAUUAUGUCUUUAUAACCACCAGUUCAGUUCUAUAUUCUCAGCACUCAGUGUGUCACUAGAGUAGAUAUCUAAUCAGCCCUUCUCCAAAUCUAAAUUUCAAUUUUAAACACAUGAACUAGAAGAAGGAAAAAAAAAACUCCAAGACCUAAAAGAACAAGGUUUAAACAGUUGACUGUUCUGGAGCAAAAUAACUGACCAGUUUUUGGUUUUAUUUUAUUUUAUUUUUUAUUUUUUGUUUUUUAUCAAGAGCGGAAGGGAGACCCUAUGUUGACAAAAGAAGCUACAGAUUUCUGUGGAUACUGAAAUCCUAUAAAAUUGGUAUCUUUCCUUUUCAACUUUUAAAAGUCUUUUUCAGAUAACUCAAGCAUCUGCUUUAUGACAGGACUUCAAUCAGCAUGGAGUUAAGCUCGGCUGGGUGACAACUGAUGUUCUUUCAACAGCAUAAAAAUCUGACCUAUAAGAACCUGACCUGAACUGGCUUAUGAGCAAGAAAUGAAAUUUCAUUUUAUGUGAAUCAUUGUGUAUUUUUACUCUCUUUGUUUUAUUACAAUAGCCUACUCUACUUAAUUUGUUCUUAUAAAUUGGGUUAGCACAGUGUUUUAACCUAGAAAAUAGCAUUGCUCAUUCAAAUAUGAAAGUUAGCCACUUACAGUAUUUAUGAUUUUGGAAUUAAAUUUUAACAGCUAAAAGCUCAUAUUUUAUAGAUCGAUCUUAAUAAUUCCCUAAUAUAAAAUUAUACUCAUAAUCACUACAUUAAUAUGCAAGCAGAAUU
rnacentral:lncRNA from 1 species